rnacentral:rRNA from 1 species
CCUACGGGUGGCUGCAGUGGGGGAUAUUGCACAAUGGGGGGAACUCUGAUGCAGCGACGCCGCGUGGGUGAAGAAGUGCCUCGGCGCGUAAAGCUCUGUCAGCAGGGAGGAAAAUGACGGUACCUGAAGAAGAAGCCCCGGCUAAAUACGUGCCAGCAGCCGCGGUAAUACGUAGGGGGCAAGCGUUAUCCGGAUUUACUGGGUGUAAUGGGGGCGCAGACGGCGAUGCAGGCCAGGAGUGAAAGCCCGGGGCUCAACCCCGGGAGUGCUCUUGGAACUGCGUGGCUGGAGUGCAGGAGGGGCAGGCGGAAUGCCUGGUGUAGCGGUGAAAUGCGUAGAUAUCAGGAGGAACACCGGUGGCGAAGGCGGCCUGCUGGACUGCAACUGACGUUGAGGCCCGAAAGCGUGGGGAGCAAACAGGAUUAGAUACCCUGGUAGUC